AGCCGGUUAGCUCAGUGGUUAGAGCAUAAUGUUCUUAACAACAAGGUUGCUGGUUCGAUCCCAGCAUGGGCCA